UACGUAGGGUGCAAGCGUUGUCCGGAUUUACUGGGCGUAAAGAGCGCGUAGGCGGUCUGUUAAGUGUGAAGUGAAAUCUCCAGAGCUCAACUCGGAAACUGCUUCGCAUACUGGCAGGCUGGAGGAACGGAGAGGGGAGUGGAAUUCCUGGUGUACCGGUGAAAUGGGUUGAUAUCAGGAGGAACACCGAUGGCGAAGGCAGCUCACUGGCCGUUAUCUGACGCUGAGGCGCGAAAGCGUGGGUAGCAAACAGG
rnacentral:rRNA from 1 species